rnacentral:rRNA from 1 species
UACGGAGGGUGCAAGCGUUGCUCGGAAUUAUUGGGCGUAAAGGGUAGGUAGGUGGUCUCAUUUGUCUGGGGUGAAAGCCUUGAGCUUAACUCAAGAAGUGCCCCAGAAACGGUGAGACUGGAGUCCUGGAGAGGGAUGCGGAAUUCCAGGUGUAGCGGUGAAAUGCGUAGAUAUCUGGAGGAACACCGGUGGCGAAGGCGGCAUCCUGGACCAAUUCUGACGCUGAGGAGCGAAAGCCAGGGGAGCAAACGGG